rnacentral:rRNA from 1 species
UUUUUAUGAGAGUUUGAUCCUGGCUCAGGACGAACGCUGGCGGCGUGCCUAAUACAUGCAAGUCGUACGCUUCUUUUUCCACCGGAGCUUGCUCCACCGGAAAAAGAAGAGUGGCGAACGGGUGAGUAACACGUGGGUAACCUGCCCAUCAGAAGGGGAUAACACUUGGAAACAGGUGCUAAUACCGUAUAACAAUCGAAACCGCAUGGUUUUGAUUUGAAAGGCGCUUUCGGGUGUCGCUGAUGGAUGGACCCGCGGUGCAUUAGCUAGUUGGUGAGGUAACGGCUCACCAAGGCCACGAUGCAUAGCCGACCUGAGAGGGUGAUCGGCCACAUUGGGACUGAGACACGGCCCAAACUCCUACGGGAGGCAGCAGUAGGGAAUCUUCGGCAAUGGACGAAAGUCUGACCGAGCAACGCCGCGUGAGUGAAGAAGGUUUUCGGAUCGUAAAACUCUGUUGUUAGAGAAGAACAAGGAUGAGAGUAACUGUUCAUCCCUUGACGGUAUCUAACCAGAAAGCCACGGCUAACUACGUGCCAGCAGCCGCGGUAAUACGUAGGUGGCAAGCGUUGUCCGGAUUUAUUGGGCGUAAAGCGAGCGCAGGCGGUUUCUUAAGUCUGAUGUGAAAGCCCCCGGCUCAACCGGGGAGGGUCAUUGGAAACUGGGAGACUUGAGUGCAGAAGAGGAGAGUGGAAUUCCAUGUGUAGCGGUGAAAUGCGUAGAUAUAUGGAGGAACACCAGUGGCGAAGGCGGCUCUCUGGUCUGUAACUGACGCUGAGGCUCGAAAGCGUGGGGAGCAAACAGGAUUAGAUACCCUGGUAGUCCACGCCGUAAACGAUGAGUGCUAAGUGUUGGAGGGUUUCCGCCCUUCAGUGCUGCAGCUAACGCAUUAAGCACUCCGCCUGGGGAGUACGACCGCAAGGUUGAAACUCAAAGGAAUUGACGGGGGCCCGCACAAGCGGUGGAGCAUGUGGUUUAAUUCGAAGCAACGCGAAGAACCUUACCAGGUCUUGACAUCCUUUGACCACUCUAGAGAUAGAGCUUCCCCUUC